rnacentral:tRNA from 1 species
GCCUUCGUGGUGUAAUGGUAGCACACUCGACACGUACUCUAGAGGUCCGGGUUCGAGUCUCGGAGAAGGAA